rnacentral:piRNA from 1 species
UGAACCUGUUACAAAUACAAAGUUUGGUGUUA